rnacentral:rRNA from 1 species
AUUGAACGCUGGCGGCAGGCCUAACACAUGCAAGUCGAACGAGUGGCGGACGUGUGUGUAAUGUCUGGGAAACCGCCUGAUCGAGGGGGACAACUACUGGAAACGGUAGCUAACACCGCAUACCAUCAGAUGUGCCCAGAUGGGAUUAGCUUGUUGGUGGGGUAACGGCUCACCAAGGCGACGAUCCCUAGCUGGUCUGAGAGGAUGACCAGCCACACUGGAACUUAGACACGGUCCAGACUCCUACGGGAGGCAGCAGUGGGGAAUAUGGCACAAUAGGAGCAAGCCUGAUGCAGCCAUGCCGCGUGUAUGAAGAAGGCCUUCGGGUUGUAAAGUACUUUCAGCGGGGAGGCAUUACACAAAGAAGAAGCACCGGCUAACUCCGUGACAGCAGCCGCGGUAAUAC